UGGGGAAUAUUGCACAAUGGCGCAAGCCUGAUUCAGCCAUGCCGCGUGUGGGAAGAAGGCCUUCGGGUUGUAAAGCACUUUUAGCGGGGGGGAAGGCGUUAAGGUUAAUAACCUCAUCGAUUGACGUUACCCGCAGAAGAAGCACCGGCUAACUCCGGGCCAGCAGCCGCGGUAAUACGGAGGGUGCAAGCGUUAAUCGGAAUUACUGGGCGUAAAGCGCACGCAGGCGGUCUGUCAAGUCGGAUGUGAAAUCCCCGGGCUCAACCUGGGAACUGCAUUCGAAACUGGCAGGCUAGAGUCUUGUAGAGGGGGGUAGAAUUCCAGGUGUAGCGGUGAAAUGCGUAGAGAUCUGGAGGAAUACCGGUGGCGAAGGCGGCCCCCUGGACAAAGACUGACGCUCAGGUGCGAAAGCGUGGGGAGCAAACAGG
rnacentral:rRNA from 1 species